GCUGGGCAUGGUGGUGCGUGCCUGUAGCCCCAGCUACUCAGGAGGCUGAGGCAGGAGAAUCACUUGAACCCGGGAGGCAUGGAGGGUGCAGUGAGCCAACAUGGCACCACUGCACUCCAGCCUGGGUGACAGAGCAAGACUCUGUCUCAA
rnacentral:SRP_RNA from 1 species